GACGAACGCUGGCGGCGUGCUUAACACAUGCAAGUCGAACGGAAAGGCUCCAGCUUGCUGGAGUACUCGAGUGGCGAACGGGUGAGUAACACGUGGGUAAUCUGCCCUGCACUCUGGGAUAAGCCUGGGAAACUGGGUCUAAUACUGGAUAUGACCUUUCUCCUUAUGGGGUUUGGUGGAAAGUUUUUCGGUGUAGGAUGAGCCCGCGGCCUAUCAGCUUGUUGGUGGGGUGAUGGCCUACCAAGGCGACGACGGGUAGCCGGCCUGAGAGGGUGAUCGGCCACAGUGGGACUGAGAUACGGCCCAGACUCCUACGGGAGGCAGCAGUGGGGAAUAUUGCACGAUGGGCGGAAGCCUGAUGCAGCGACGCCGAGUGAGGGAUGACGGCCUUCGGGUUGUAAACCGCUUUCAGCAGGGACGAAGCGUAAGUGACGGUACCUGCAGAAGAAGCACCGGCUAACUACGUG
rnacentral:rRNA from 1 species